ensembl:ncRNA asRNA:CR45974 antisense RNA:CR45974
UCCAAAAAAGUAACAAACAACCAAAAUCACUUUAAGCAAGUCGAUGACAAAUUUUGAAUUUUCUCUCUCUCAAAAAUAGUUUAAAAAUAGUUUUCUUAUUUUGUUGUGGAAAUAUCCCAUGUUUUACAAAACUCGUUCCUCCUCAUGUGUCCAUACCCAAAAAAGAAAUCACAAUGCGCUUUGAUUGAGCCUGCCUUUCCCAGAAAAUCCCAAAGAUUUUCUCUCCACCAGGAUGAAAUAUGGAAACCAAAUUUAGUUCUCCUUGGAGGUGGCAUCAGUCACGUCGUCCUCAUCGUUGUUCUGACCGCCGCUGCUGAUCUCGAAGGAUAUCUGAAUGACCGUCGGUUGACGCUGGCUCGAACUGUAGCUGUAGAUUCGCAGAGCGUAGCAGAAGAUCUGGGCCAAAAGAUCCCAGCAUCCAAACUCCGACAUGGUCAUCGAUCCCUGUUGACUUCCCAGCGGCACGGAAAUAUUGGCACGGAAUUGUGGGCGCUGUUGCUGAUGAUGAUGUCGCUGCUGCUGCUGCUGUUGUUGCGAUUGUUGCUGCUGCUGCGAUGGUGCAGCAGCUGUUGCAGUUGUCCUUGGACUCGCUGCUGUCUGCUGGCCGUUUUGCUGAUAGCUUCUGGCCAACAAUUGGGCCUGGUCGGGUAUGAAAUAGGCGAUGGCCAUGGCGGUAUUUAAUUUAAUACAAAAUGUGAUUUUACAAAACGUAUGAAUCUUUAAAAAAAUAUAUAACUUUAGUGUAGCAU